GUACCACCUUGUCGGGUAGCUUAUCAGACUGAUGUUGACUGUUGAAUCUCAUGGCAACAGCAGUCGAUGGGCUGUCUGACAUUCUGGUAUC
ensembl:miRNA